AACGAACGCUGGCGGCAUGCCUAACACAUGCAAGUCGAACGAUACCUUCGGGUCUAGUGGCGCACGGGUGCGUAACGCGUGGGAACCUGCCCUUAGGUUCGGAAUAACUCCCCGAAAGGGGUGCUAAUACCGGAUAAUGUCUUCGGACCAAAGAUUUAUCGCCUUUGGAUGGGCCCGCGUUGGAUUAGCUAGUUGGUAGGGUAAAAGCCUACCAAGGCGACGAUCCAUAGCUGGUCUGAGAGGAUGAUCAGGCACACUGGGACUGAGACACGGCCCAGACUCCUACGAGAGGAAGGAAUGGGGAAUAUUGGACAAUGGGCGAAAGCCUGAUCCAGCAAUGCCGCGUGAGUGAUGAAGGACUUAGGGUUGUAAAGCUCUUUUACCCGGGAUGAUAAUGACAGUACCGUGAGAAUAAGCUCCGGCUAACUCCGUG
rnacentral:rRNA from 1 species